rnacentral:rRNA from 1 species
AGUCAUAUGCUUGUCUUAAAGAUUAAGCCAUGCAUGUCUAAGUAUAAAUAGUAUACAGUGAAACUGCGAAUGGCUCAUUAAAACAGUUAUAGUUUAUUUGGUAAUCAAACUUACAUGGAUAACCGUGGUAAUUCUAGAGCUAAUACAUGCUGUUGCGCCCGACUCACGAAGGGCCGUAUUUAUUAGAUAUCAGCCAAUAAGCAUCUGCUAUUGUGGUGACUCAUAGUAACUUAAUCGGAUCGCAUGGGCUUGUCCCGCGACAAACCAUUCAAGUUUCUGCCCCAUCAGCUUUCGAUGGUAGUGUAUUGGACUACCAUGGCUUUCACGGGUAACGGAGGAUUAGGGUUCGAUUCCGGAGAGGGAGCCUGAGAAACGGCUACCACAUCUAAGGAAGGCAGCAGGCGCGUAAAUUACCCAAUUCUGACUCAGAGAGGUAGUGACAAGAAAUAACGGGUCGGGACUUCUGUCCCGGGACUGCAAUGAGCCGAAUCUACACACCUUAGCGAGGAUCAAU